UACGUAGGGGGCAAGCGUUGUCCGGAAUCAUUGGGCGUAAAGGGUUUGUAGGUGGUCUGCUAAGUCAGACGUGAAAUCCCUCAGCUUAACUGGGGAACUGCGUCUGAUACUGGCGGACUUGAGGACAGGAGAGGAACGCGGAAUUCCAGGUGUAGCGGUGGAAUGCGUAGAGAUCCGGAAGAACACCGGUGGCGAAGGCGGCCCGCUGGGCAGGAAGGCUCGCAAGAGCCGGCUGACGCUGAGGCGCGACAGCGUGGGGAGCAAACAGG
rnacentral:rRNA from 1 species